GGUGUGCGAAUGCGACGGUUCUGUCGCUCGAAAAGCUCGCAACGCUUUGGAAAGCAGCCAGACGCCGCCAGAGUCGUGACGCCGCGAGCCGCCAGCGGCAGUACGCGCGCGGCGCUCGCCGCCUUCGCGCGCGCUUUCGCCGCUCCCACAUACAAAUAUUCUACUCUCAAGAAGAUCGCGACGAUCACGUUGUCAAAAUACAAUUCAAAAUACAAAAUACGUAAACUUACAAAGUUAGGAAUUUCAUAAGAUAAUUAUGAUAAACUAAAACUUAUUUCAUUAAAAAUUAUUAUGAAAUUAUAAGCCUGGGAUAAUAAAAUUUGUUAAGAAAAAACAAGUUGAAGAAGACCUUCCAACGAUGGACAAAUGGUCCACGAAGGACAACGAAAUAAACAACAUCUUAAUUAAUAUGUAACAAGAAUAAUUCUAUCGUGAUCUGAUCGACAACGUUAUCAGAUGACUUCAUGGACUAGAUUCUCUUGGAUAAGUACUGGAACGCCGUUUGCUCACUUUGACCGACGUUGACCUUCGAGCAAACAGCGUUUUUUCUUCGUUUUGUCGCAAUCCACGAAGUAGUCUGUGAAGUUGCCUAUACUCGGCGUUUGGUUAUACGCUGUCGCGUCAUCCAACAUGUCCGCCGUCUUCUGAUCAAAGGCCGCGUUCAUUUGCGACGCGACGACGCGAAACUUGCGCUAAUUCGCUUUUCUAUGCCGCAGCACGUACUCGGUCAGAGCGGUAGCGUUUUCACCUCAUUUCCUCGUUUCCUCGUUUCGGCGUGGAUCGAUUAAUUUUCGCAAGGUGGACGAAACAUUUGUGUCGCGGUUUCGUGCACUUUCACACGUCGCUGAAAUCUUUCGAUAUUUUAUUCAACAUUAUGCUAAAGUUUGUACAUAUAAAAUAACUUAUCUAAAUAAAAUAACGAAAUAUUUCUUGAAACGAGAAAAUAACGAAAUUAAAAAUAAAAUAAAAAUCUAGGCUUUUAAUUUCACGAAAAAUAACACUUUGUUUUCGAAUUUGAAGUAAGUACUGUUAUUUUGUUUUAUAAUUAUUAUUAUAAACGUAUUGAUAGUCUCGGUUUAAAUUUUUGUGAUUUGUGAGAAAUAACCAUAAGCCACUUGAAAACCCUCUGAUAAAACUAAUGUAAAACGAUUUGUAGCGAUUUAACUUAACAAUAUUAUAUGAUUAGAGAGUAUUGACCGGUUCUAGACCACUUUCUUGCAUGUACGAUGCAAAAAAACAAGAAAUUGUAUUUUCAAUACGAAGGCAUUAAAGAAAAAACGUACAACAAAACGAAAAGCAAAGCAAUAACUUUGAUAAACGUCUGAAAUUUGUAGGUUAUGUACAAAUUGACACUAAGAAAACCAAAGAUAUACGUAACUAUAUGAUUAUCUAAAUGAAGAAACAUGUACGAGCAAAACAAAUAAAUGCUUUAUGAUAAAUCUGCAGUAAACGCAAAACUAGAUUAAGCUUUGACAUUUUGAUUAUGGUUGUAAAUUCGGUCGUCCAAGUCCAAGUCCAAAAACGGCCUACAUUUCUAUAAUAAAUUGACUAUAAAUAUGGAGCAAAAGAAGUUGCAUACGAUUGCAUGCGAAGAGUACGACGAGCCAAAUAACCAAAUAAGAUGCAACCAGUGCAAUUAUAUUCGCCAAUAACUCAAAUUAAUAGUCAUUUUCGGUGCCAACACAGUCUAACAAUGUAACUGCUUGUAUCGCAUACAAAAUGAGCGUUAAAACAAUAGAAGACAUGAUUAAACCCAUUAAAACUCUUCAAAAUAAAGCAAUGGUGUUUUUUCAAGGUCAUUUUAGUUUUAGUUUGAUUGUCACACAGACAGUAAGCUUCAAAAUUCUCGGAUUCAUAAAUACAUUCGGCUAGUGAGACUAUGAUAAAAUUAUAAAAGAAAUACUAAAAGCUAUGAAGAAAUAUUGAAGAUUAUUUAGCUGAGUAGCGUAUUUACUAGCGCCCUCUCUAUACACAGGGCCUAUAGCGGAUUUAGUGGCCUUUCAGUGACUAUAUUACAGUAUAUUAAAGCGUAACUUAAUAAAAUAUUUAAGAUUAUACGAAUAUUUACUGAAUCGAACACCAAAAAAGAAAAGUAGAGUACGUUUAAGGCUCAAAAUGGAGACUGUCAAAAUGUCAAACGUGUAAAAUAUGGACAGCUAAAGAAACUUUGAAGAAUCUUUGAAGAAAGGUUUUGUAAAAUGUAUUUAUUGAGAUUAAAAGGGCGCAGUUUAUGUCCGAGAUAUAAAAUAACACACACGCAUACAUAACCUACGAGUAUAUUCUUAUGAUGACAGUAAGAUUAUAAAUAUUAUGAAUUAUACUCUUUCUUCUUCUAUAUUGGAAUAAAAUGGUUUAAAAACUCAAA